rnacentral:rRNA from 1 species
GCGAGUCGUUGUAGCAUACAAGGCGGACGGCUCAGUAACACGUAGUCAACCUAACCUAUGGACGUGGAUAACCUCGGGAAACUGAGAAUAAACCGCGAUAGAUCAUUAUGCCUGGAAUGGCUUAUGGUCCAAACAAUUUAUUGCCAUAGGAUGGGACUGCGGCCUAUCAGCUUGUUGGUGAGGUAAUGGCCCACCAAGGCUAUAACAGGUACGGGCUCUGAGAGGAGAAGCCCGGAGAUGGGUACUGAGACACGGACCCAGGCCCUAUGGGGCGCAGCAGGCGAGAAACCUUAGCAAUGUGCGAAAGCACGACUAGGUUAAUCCGAGUGGUUCCUGCUAAAGGAACCUUUUGUCAGUCGUAAAACCACAGACGAAUAAGGGGUGGGCAAGUCUGGUGUCAGCCGCCGCGGUAAUACCAGCACCUCGAGUGGUCAGGAGGUUUAUUGGGCCUAAAGCAUCCGUAGCCGGCUAUGCAAGUCUCCGGUUAAAUCCAACGACUCAAUCGUUGGGCGCGCGGGAAAUACUACCAGUCUUGGGAAUGGGGGAGGCC